UACAGAGGAUGCAAGCGUUAUCCGGAAUGAUUGGGCGUAAAGCGUCUGUAGGUGGCUUUUUAAGUCCGCCGUCAAAUCCCAGGGCUCAACUCUGGACAGGCGGUGGAAACUACCAAGCUGGAGUACGGUAGGGGCAGAGGGAAUUUCCGGUGGAGCGGUGAAAUGCGUAGAUAUCAGGAGGAACACCGGUGGCGAAGGCGGGUCUCUGGGCAACAACUAACGCUGAGGAGCGAAAGCGUGGGGAGCGAACAGG
rnacentral:rRNA from 1 species